rnacentral:rRNA from 1 species
UACAGAGGGUGCAAGCGUUAAUUGGAAUUACUGGGCGUAAAGCGUGCGUAGACGGUAGCGUAAGUCGGGUGUGAAAGCCCCGGGCUCAACCUGGGAAUUGCAUUCGAGACUGCUCUGCUAGGGUGCGGAAGAGGGGAGCGGAAUUUCCGGUGUAGCGGUGAAAUGCGUAGAUAUCGGGAGGAACACCUGUGGCGAAAGCGGCUCACUGGACCACAACUGACGCUGAGGCGCGAAAGCUAGGGGAGCAAACAGG